AGGGUUUGAUUAUGGCUCAGGAUGAACGCUAGCUACAGGCUUAACACAUGCAAGUCGAGGGGCAGCAUGAACUUAGCUUGCUAAGUUUGAUGGCGACCGGCGCACGGGUGAGUAACGCGUAUCCAACCUACCCUUGUCCAUCGGAUAACCCGUCGAAAGGCGGCCUAACACGAUAUGCGGUUCACAGCAGGCAUCUAACGUGAACGAAAUGUGAAGGAGAAGGAUGGGGAUGCGUCUGAUUAGCUUGUUGGCGGGGUAACGGCCCACCAAGGCUACGAUCAGUAGGGGUUCUGAGAGGAAGGUCCCCCACAUUGGAACUGAGACACGGUCCAA
rnacentral:rRNA from 1 species